rnacentral:tRNA from 1 species
CAUUGAAUGGCUGAAAUUUAUAAGCAAUGGUCUCUUAAACCAAAAUAUAGUGUAUUACUUUCAAUGA